rnacentral:lncRNA from 1 species
GCACAGAAACAUAGCUAGGAAGGCACGAGAGGAAGCAGAGUUACAAUUUAUGUAGAGGAAAGUAAUGUGACCUGUAUUGGGAAAAUUUGGUUCCCAACGCUCACAUAUUAUUCGCAUAGAGUCUCACUAAAGAAAGCGGUCUUAUCGUGGUCGACUUAAGUAAGACCGGCCCCAAUCAAUAAACGGAUCAAUUGACGUGACUCUCUGUAACGUCACAUC